rnacentral:lncRNA from 1 species
UAUAGUACUCUGUUGGAAGUGAAAAACACAAGGUAGAAACUUGUGCAGAUCUGAUGAAACCAACCUCUUUUGCAGCACGUAUUCAAUGUAUGCUAGAUUGUUGGGUGCCUUGGAUGGACAAACUUUACAAGAAAUAUCGUGAAAUCCAACGAAUAAGAGCAAACGAGGACAAGAAAAGAAGCUAGGUUGGUAGAGAGAAGUAUCUGAGUGUUGUUGGGUUAAAAAGGAGAGAGAUGAGAUCCCGAGAAUCACUGAAAAAGAGAAGGAAAGGUAAGAGAAAGGUUGAAGAAUGUGAAAUGGAGACGAUGUAGGGUUAAAUAGAAAGAAAAAGCAUAAGAAGUAAAUGAAGAAUGGUGGAAAUCAAAGUAAAAGAAAAAAACAUCAUUGUCGAGAGUAUCUAUCUCCUUAUCUAGAUUACCGGAAAAGCUUUGAGUUCAUAAAAGGUGGCGAUAAAACGGCGAGAGAGAUGUAAACCUCAACCUCCACCCACCACCAAGCGAUCGUGACUACAAAAGUAAACGGACAAGACAACAGCUCUACUAUUAGUAAAUUUUAAGGUCAUGUUACUUUUGUAAUAUAUCCUUAAAAAAAUUGUUUUACCAUUUCUUUUCGGGUUUUAGUCUCUCAAGGUUUCAUAGAAAUAAUAAUUAUGGUUGAGUUAGAAGAAUAAAACACCGCACGCGGGCUCAGGUUCUUUGGAUCUCAUAGUCUGCAAUAUUUUAUGCAUAAGAAUUUGUGUCUGCGUUUAUAUUGCACUGAAUUAUUAAAUCAG